AUUGAACGCUGGCGGCAGGCCUAACACAUGCAAGUCGAGCGAGCGGCGGACGGGUGAGUAAUGUAUGGGGAACUGCCCGAUAGCGGGGGAUAACUACUGGAAACGGUAGCUAAUACCGCAUACUAUCUGAUGUACCCCGAUGGGAUUAGCUAGUGGGUGAGGUAACGGCUCACCUAGGGGACGCUCCCUAGCUGGUCUGAGAGGAUGAUCAGCCACACUGGGACUGAGACACGGCCCAGACUCCUACGGGAGGCAGCAGUGGGGAAUAUUGCACAAUGGGCGCAAGCCGGAUGCAGCCAUGCCGCGUGUAUGAAGAAGGCCCUCGGGUUGUAAAGUACUUUCAGUGGGGAGGCGUUACCGACAGAAGAAGCACCGGCUAACUCCGUGCCAGCCGCCGCGGUAAUAC
rnacentral:rRNA from 1 species